CUGUCGCUUCCUCAGGUUCUUUCUUAUUGUUUAAUAUAACUCAACGAUAGGUUGUUAAAAAAUCGCAAUUGUCUUUGCCGUUACCUUCAAUCUACCGAAUCGUAAUUUAUUCAGUAUCACAAUCGAAAAAUCGCAGAGUAUUGACUAAUAUUGUAAUUACCUACCUCAGUAACGAACAUAGAUGUGUUAGGACAUAGGAAAGCCUGAGCUGGAGGCUUCUCACGCGUACUCAUUUAGCUUUUAAAUUCCACUCCUUGGAGAAGCAGAGUGCCCUUACCUCCAAAAAGCCAAGAAAACACAAAUUAUGGGAUAAGGGUCCCGCAUGCUGCUCUACUAGAUUCUUCAGAACACAAUGACCCUGGCUGCCCAAGUCCUACCUUUCUAGUUCCUUUCACUCUUAUUCUAUACCUCACACAGUCCGCCAAGCUAAGGUCUGCCGCGCCUACGACAAAGCUUAAUUAGGAACUAGGUGCCAACCUAUUGGGGCUCUGCUUAUGUCCACUGAAUAAUAAUAUGGAAGAAGUACACCAAAGUAUGAAAGAUAUAUUUAGAUUGAAAGGCAAAUGAUAGGAUUAUUAUGCUAGGUGAUAUUAUUGGGUCUGUGAAAAGGUGUUAGGUGAGUUUUAAGAUGAUAAUAGGAACAAAAACAGUCAAGAAAAUAAAUACGUAGGAAAGUUGCCAUUUACACCAAUUGUCUAGAUUACUACGGACCUGGUUCGUUGAAUGUCUUCACAAUAGCAGUUCUCAGAGGUGUUUAAUGGAUUUAAAAGUGUGUGGUUUUAAUAAAAAAACAAAAUUGUAUGCCAGAAUUUGUGUGCGAAAAGAAGAAAAUAUGGUUAGAUUGAUGUUUAAGGAAGCACAUAAGAAAUACAAAUGUAUGAGAGAUGAGGUGAAUCUAAAAGUUCGUGGCCUCACCUAGUAAAUAAAUGUCUAUAAUUUUUUUAAACUACAGGAGUGAUGGAGAAGAGAAUUGAACUAAACUGUGAUUAUGUCGUAAAUAAAAAUAUUUCUAUUUAAAAAAAAUCGUUUUCUUGGUUAGGGCACGAACUUUUGGAUUUACUCUCGUACGUGUCAAGGGAAUUGAAU
rnacentral:lncRNA from 1 species